rnacentral:lncRNA from 1 species
GUCAUGUUUUUUUCUGUUCUCUUACACUAUGAUAAACAUCUGAUCCAUACUACACACUUUUUUUUCAACUCCUGUGGCACAUCUGGUCUGAGGAGAAGCAGGACUGUAGGAGACAGCUCCAAAAGGAUUCCACCAGACAGUGAGAAAAAGGAACACAACAGGGCAUAAGGCCAAGUUAAAAGACUGUACUCACAGCCCACCCACCGGGACACAGAAAGGCAAUGACUCAAAGCCCUGUGCAGGUAAUGUGCAACUACAGAGGCUGAACUACUUGGAGGAUAACCUCAGCUACGCUAGGAGAAAGAAAACCGAAGAUAAUGGAAAAGAAACAGCUAUAAUAACCAUCUGCAAGCACACAUGGUCUCUACUUCAGCACCCAUAAAACUUAAAAGGAUAAAAGAAAAGGAAAUUGCUUGCAAAAUAGCAAAGACAAUUUUAUAAACAUUUCUUCUUAUACUUUUGUAGGGUUGCCCUGUUUCUGCUGUUAGGAGUACUGUGUGUAUUAGCAUUUAUUGUGGAGAGAGG